rnacentral:rRNA from 1 species
AACGCGAAGAACCUUACCUGGAUUUGACAUCCUUUGAAUACUUUAGAGAUAGAGUAGGCUCGCAAGAGACAAAGAGACAGGUGCUGCAUGGCUGUCGUCAGCUCGUGUUGUGAAAUGUUGGGUUAAGUCCCGCAACGAGCGCAACCCUUGCCUUUGGUUGCCAUCAUUAAGUUGGGCACUCCAGAGGGACUGCCGUCGUCAAGACGGAGGAAGGUGGGGAUGACGUCAAGUCCUCAUGGCCUUUAUAUCCAGGGCGACACACGUGAUACAAUGGUAGGUACAAAGGGCAGCGAAGUGGUGACACGAAGCCAAUCCCAAAAAGCCUAUCUCAGUUCGGAUUGGAGUCUGCAACUCGACUCCAUGAAGUUGGAAUCGCUAGUAAUCGCGGAUCAGCACGCCGCGGUGAAUACGUUCCCGGGCCUUGUACACACCGAGACGUA